UGUGCGUGCGUGUGUGUGUGUGUGCGUGUGCACACGUGCGCAUGUGUGUGCGCAUGCACGCGUGUGCAGGCAUCUGUGUGCGCGUGUGUGAGCACGUACGUGUCAGGGGGACCUGACAGCACUCUGCCUCGUCCUCCCACGCCCCUGCUCCUCCCUGUGGAACCCGAAGCUCCACACAG